rnacentral:sRNA from 1 species
CAUUAUCGUACAACAUGUGUGAGGCGUGCGAGGGCUGUCGCUGACUUCAAAGUCGUGCACGCCGGAGCGCGUCCUCUCACAUUAAAUCCAUCUCCCCUUUUGUGCACCACCGCGUGGGCACCCUUUUGGGAUCGAAUCGAUCCAGGAGGGGGGCUUGCGUUUUCACACAAACCCCUUUUAAAAAGUGUAGAAUGACCCCACUUUGCGAUGACACGCAAUCAAUACAACUUUCAACAACGGAUCUCUUGGCUCUCGCAUCGAUGAAGAACGCAGCGAAAUGCGAUACGUAAUGUGAAUUGCAGAAUUCAGUGAAUCAUCGAAUCUUUGAACGCACCUUGCGCCCCUUGGUAUUCCGAGGGGCACACCCGUUUGAGUGUCGUGAAAAUCUCAACCUUCUCGGUUUUCUUUUGGACACCGAAGGAGGCUUGGACUUUGGAGGCCUCUGCUGGCGUCUCUCUCUUUUCGAGAGCCAGCUCCUCUUAAAUGAAUUAGCGGGGUCCUCUUUGCCGAUCCUCGACAUGUGAUAAGAUGUUUCCAUGACUUGGUUUCUGGCUCUGUUGCCUUUGGGACCCGCUUCUAACCGUCUCGACGAGACAACGUUUGGGCGUGUCUCCCUUCUCGGGAAACACUCUCAACCCCACGAACCCUUGACCU